UGGGGGGUAACAUACCUGCAGUCGAGCGGAACGAUCCUAGCUUGCUAGGAGGCGUCGAGCGGCGGACGGGUGAGUAAUGCAUAGGAAUCUGCCCGGUAGUGGGGGAUAACCUGGGGAAACCCAGGCUAAUACCGCAUACGCCCUACGGGGGAAAGCAGGGGAUCUUCGGACCUUGCGCUAUCGGAUGAGCCUAUGUCGGAUUAGCUAGUUGGUGAGGUAACGGCUCACCAAGGCUGCGAUCCGUAGCUGGUCUGAGAGGAUGAUCAGCCACAUCGGGACUGAGACACGGCCCGAACUCCUACGGGAGGCAGCAGUGGGGAAUAUUGGACAAUGGGCGAAAGCCUGAUCCAGCCAUGCCGCGUGUGUGAAGAAGGCCUUCGGGUUGUAAAGCACUUUCAGUGAGGAAGAAAGCCUUGAGGUUAAUACCCUCGAGGGAGGACAUCACUCACAGAAGAAGCACCGGCUAACUCCGUGCCAGCAGCCGCGGUAAUACGGAGGGUGCGAGCGUUAAUCGGAAUUACUGGGCGUAAAGCGCGCGUAGGCGGCUUGAUAAGCCGGUUGUGAAAGCCCCGGGCUCAACCUGGGAACGGCAUCCGGAACUGUCAGGCUAGAGUGCAGGAGAGGAAGGUAGAAUUCCCGGUGUAGCGGUGAAAUGCGUAGAGAUCGGGAGGAAUACCAGUGGCGAAGGCGGCCUUCUGGACUGACACUGACGCUGAGGUGCGAAAGCGUGGGUAGCAAACAGGAUUAGAUACCCUGGUAGUCCACGCCGUAAACGAUGUCGACUAGCCGUUGGGCUCCUUGAGAGCUUUGUGGCGCAGUUAACGCGAUAAGUCGACCGCCUGGGGAGUACGGCGCAAGGUUAAAACUCAAAUGAAUUGACGGGGCCCGCACAAGCGGUGGAGCAUGUGGUUUAAUUCGAUGCAACGCGAAGAACCUUACCUACCCUUGACAUCGAGAGAACUUUCCAGAGAUGGAUUGGUGCCUUCGGGAGCUCUCAGACAGUGCUGCAUGCUGUCGUCAGCUCGUGUGUGAAAUGUGGGUAGUCCGUACGAGCGCACCCUGUCCUAUUUGCAGCGAUUCGG
rnacentral:rRNA from 1 species